rnacentral:rRNA from 1 species
UACGUAGGUGACAAGCGUUGUCCGGAAUGACUGGGCGUAAAGGGUGUGAAGGUGGCCAUUCAAGUUAGUAGUGAAAUCCCGGGGCUCAACUCCGGUGCUACUACUAAGACUGUUUGGCUUGAGUGCAGGAGGGGCAAAUGGAAUUCCUAGUGUAGCGGUGGAAUGCGUAGAUAUUAGGAGGAACACCGGUGGCGAAGGCGAUUUGCUGGACUGUAACUGACACUAAUGCACGAAAGCGUGGGGAGCAAAC